AUUGAACGCUGGCGGCAGGCCUAACACAUGCAAGUCGAACGAGUGGCGGACGGGUGAGUAAUGUCUGGGAAACUGCCUGAUGGAGGGGGAUAACUACUGGAAAAGGUAGCUAAUACCGCAUACCAUCAGAUGUUCCCAGAUGGGAUUAGCUUGUUGGUGGGGUAAAGGGUCACCAAGGCGACGAUCCAUAGCUGGUCUGAGAGGAUGACCAGCCACAAUGGAACUGAGACAAGGUCCAGCAGCCUACGGGAGGCAGCAGUGGGGAAUAGGGCACAAUGGGCGCAAGCCUGAGGCAGCAAUGCCGCGUGUAUGAAGAAGGCCUUCGGGUUGUAAAGUACUUUCAGCGGGGAGGCGUUACCCGCAGAAGAAGCACCGGCUAACUCCGUGCCAGCAGCCGCGGUAAUAC
rnacentral:rRNA from 1 species